UUCUUCCUUUAUGGUGUAUACACAUUUUAUUCCUCUGUCUUUUUCUUAUCAGAGCAGCCAUGACUUCUGGAUCAAUGCUGAGUGAGAAUGCUGAGGAAGAAAUGCUGGCUUUGCCGUGAUGGAAGUCUUAGGAAGAUCGAAUUCCAGUUUCUCAGCAUUCAGGCUAAUGCUGACAUUCCUUCCACGUGGAGAACCCUGCAGGGAUCCCAAGGUGUAGAGGUUAGAAAUCCAGAAUAAGUCCCGCCUGACUGAAAGUCAAAGUGUUGGCAAGCCAGAAGACAGCAGUCAUUCUAAGGUUCUGGAGAAGCCUUGCUUUUUCCUGGCCCAGCUUCCAGAAGCCACAAGGGUGACUUCUCAUCCUUGAGGUUUGUAUGUUAAUGCAGAGCCUGCAGAAGCCAGAAGAGGGCGUCAGUUCCCCAAAGCUGCAGUUACAGGUGAUACUGCCUGAUGUGGAUGCUGGGAACUGAAUCUGGGUCCCCUGGAAAAGCAGAAAGCACUAUUAACCUCUGAGCCACCUCUCCAGCCCCAGCUGAUGGUCCUGAAUAGAAUGUCCUCACACCAUUUGGUGGUGACCAUCUAAAAUAUCAUCUCUUCUAUGUCAACGGUACCACCAACCUUUACCAACCCCUGUGUAGUAACAUGGCGGAACUCUAAAGAUAGUGGUAUCUAGAAAUUAAAAAAAGAGGACACAUUAUGAACUAUGAAAUGUACCAGGGAAACCAUGGCAUAUCCAAAGGAGACACAGGGAAGCUUUCAGAGCCCAAAUGGAGAUGGUGUGAAUUAUUGAAAAUCAUAUUCCUUGAACACAAGAAGGCAUAGGAAACUUGUGGGGAGAUAACAAGCCCAGGGUUGAGCAGCCAUUUGACAUGGCCUUGCAGAAGCAUUCUCUAGGGUGAUAGCAGUUGUUUCUGGGCAAGCUUGUGUUGAUAGCCGACCCCGUGUGAGUUGCUGCUAUCGUAUAGUCUCAUCCACAUUACGACCCAGCUCUACUUAAGUUUAUUUCAUUCCGGAUCAAUACCAGCAACUGCGUCUCAAUUUCAGUAUCUUUCUUUAUAGUAUCAUGAGCAUCAUGAGAACACACAGAGUAUAUUAGACCAUUCAAGGGUGACUGGUCUUACUGCUUCCCGCUCUUUUCAGUGGUUUAAGGAGAAGUUAUUAACCUUAACUUCUAAAUUUCAGAAAGUUUGCAAUUGUUUCAAGAAUUAACAAUGUAAGAUCAAAGCCACGUUGCUCUCUGUAGUAGAGUUACAUGAUUAUUUUGUUGGGAUUGUGUUAAAUUGUUAAUGUAUUUUUGACAUUGUUAGUGUUCACAAUGCUG